CCUACGGGAGGCAGCAGUGGGGAAUAUUGGACAAUGGGGGCAACCCUGAUCCAGCCAUGCCGCGUGUGUGAAGAAGGCCCUCGGGUUGUAAAGCACUUUCAGCGAGGAAGAACGCCUAGCGGUUAAUACCCGCUAGGAAAGACAUCACUCGCAGAAGAAGCACCGGCUAACUCCGUGCCAGCAGCCGCGGUAAUACGGAGGGUGCAAGCGUUAAUCGGAAUUACUGGGCGUAAAGCGCGCGUAGGUGGCUUGAUAAGCAGGUUGUGAAAGUCCCGGGCUCAACCUGGGAACGGCAUCCGGAACUGUCAAGCUAGAGUGCAGGAGAGGAAGGUAGAAUUCCCGGUGUAGCGGUGAAAUGCGUAGAGAUCGGGAGGAAUACCAGUGGCGAAGGCGGCCUUCUGGACUGACACUGACACUGAGGUGCGAAAGCGUGGGUAGCAGACAGGAUUAGAUACCCUGGUAGUCCACGCCGUAAACGAUGUCGACCAGCCGUUGGGUGCCUAGCGCACUUUGUGGCGAAGUUAACGCGAUAAGUCGACCGCCUGGGGAGUACGGCCGCAAGGUUAAAACUCAAAUGAAUUGACGGA
rnacentral:rRNA from 1 species